GCGUUACAGGACACGUGCCACCAAGCCAGAGCUCCCAGCGUGGCCGUGUCAGACUCUGCACCAUGAGCAACGGCAGCGUUCUUCUCGGCCUCGGCAUCCUCUUCCUGGCUGCCGGGGCCAUCCUGCUCGCCAUCGGCCGUCACCAACAGGGUGACGGCCAGAGACAGUGACGCCGGAGAUGGAGGCGGAGAGCGGUGGCACCAGAGCCAGGUGCUCCCGGGGGCCCCCUGUGCGGGCCCUGGCGCUGCAGCCACUGCAUCACAGCUGCCCAGGAGCUGCAGCAGCUGGUGCUGUCAGCAUGGGCUGGGACCGGGGCCUCCGCCACGCCGCGUGCCGGCACCUGGCAGGCGGCGUGGCAGGACCUGGAGGAGCUGGUGGAGCGGGGCCACCUGCCCUGCCACGGCUGCAGCUCCUCCAGCUCCCCCGAGAGCCUCAGUCUCUGAGAGCUUGAGAAAUACGG